rnacentral:lncRNA from 1 species
UUUCACUUUCAUUUUUUAACAAAAACAGAGAGAGAGUCUCUAAGAUUCUCUCAACACUCUCAGCCCUCAGAAUUUGGCGAGGACCCAGUCACCGGAGCACCAGCGGCCGCCGCCGUGCACGGCGGUAGGACGCCCAAAGUUCGUCGCCUUUCGGUGAUUUCAAAGGUACACCUCUUUUUCUUAUUUUAUUUUCGUGUUAAAAAGAAACAAAACAUAAUAAAUAAAUAAAAAAUGGAAAAGAACAAUCGGGGAAGACUAAAAAACAACUCUCAAACUUUCGUUUUCUGUUUGUUUUUUUUAUUUUCGUUUUUAAAAAAUUAAAAAAAAACAACAAUGAAAGUAAAGAAAAAGGAAAGAUUCAAGCAAAAAAACUAGGAAAUCACCUUAGUUUUUUUUUUCUUAGUGUUCGUAAAGAAAAGAAGAAGAGCCAUACAAGGAAGAGAUUUUCGGCUUUUAUAGCCGAUCUACACAACUUUUAAUUUCUAUUUCUUUGUGUUUUUGCUAUUUGUUUCUUCCGUUGUUGCGUGCCUUUUGCAUUCAAUUUUUGCAGGUGUCAGAGCAUACGGAGGAAAGGCGGCUAGGAGCGGCGGUAGCCAGGCAUGGCAGAGGAGGCGAAACGGCGUUGAGGCUGGAGCCUGGGCAUGCGGGGCAUGCGGCGCAUGGAGGCUUGGGGGCUAGGGUUUGGUACUGCUGAAUGGGGUUAAUUUUUGGGCUAGGGUUUCUUAAUUUGGGCCUGUUGGGUAUUUUGGGCCACUGUUUAUUUUGGACUGUGUGUUUUUUUGCUGGUAUUGGGCUUUAGUGUUUUGGGCCCCGGGCAAAAUUUGGGUUUUACAUGAGUAGUUUGAUAUUCUGAUUCAAUCUUGUUCCGAAGAGCUUCAGUAGAGAUCUCGUCCAGGAGGUCCUCGGCAUCAUAAACAGCAUCUUUGAGCUCAUCGGUCCAACUUUUGACAUUUGGGUUGGCAAUCUGCUUAUUUUCAGCAUCAUCCAACACUGCUUUCACCGACAUCAAGGUUGGCUUGAGUUUCUUCAGUAGCACAACUUCAAGUUUCUUUCCUUUGAUAAGCCUCAGAACAUCGGCAUAAACAAUCCUAUCAAGCAGCACCUCAAUGGAAGCAGAGAGAAAAGCUUCAGCCACCAUAGCCAUGUUUUUUUGUGGGGUUUUUUUCGGUAAAUAAAGGUUUAAAGGAAGAUGAAAAGGGAAGUAAUAACAAAGAAAGGAAAAGAAGAGUGCUUCAACUAAAGAGAAGACACGAUUGCAAAGAUGAAGGAUUUGGAUUUGAAACAGAGAAAGGAAGUGCAAAGCAAAUAGUCAACAAGGAACAGUAGAAGGAUUGGAUGAAAGGGGAAGGCUUUAACUCGCAAAUACUUUAGUUUCAAUAAAUUUGUGUAUAAAAUUUCUUUAUUGGAAUGUUUGAAAAAUGAUUUUGGGUUGAAAAGUAUGGAAAAUUAAUGUAUUACACAAAUGAUGAAAUAAUAUGGAAAACAACAUAAUAAUAUAAAAAUAUCUUGAAAUUUAUAUUUAUAAAUUAAGUAGAUUUUAUUCCUAAGAUUGCAAAAUUAACAAAUCCUUUGUAAUUUGUCUUUUUUAUUUUAAAAAAGGGGUAAAUUAAUCCUCGUACAUUAAAUUAAGAGUAAAAUAAUUAUUCUGUUAAAAUUUUUAUCCAUUUAAAUUAUUAAAAAUUGGUCCUAGUAUAUCAACAUGAGGUAUAUAUGGUAUGUCACAUGUCAUUAUUCGGUUAUUUUAUCAAUCAUAUCAAUUUUUAACAGUACAAAUGGAUAAAAUUUUUAACAAAAAAAAGGAUUAAUUUGUUCUUUGAUCUAACGUAUAAGGACUAAUUUACUCAUCUUAUAUUAAAUGGGACAAAAUAUAAUCUAACUCCUAGUAUAGAGAGCUCCAUAAUAUUUUACGGUGCAAAUUAUAUAUUAACAUAUCAAAAAAUUUAUAUAAAUAUAAAAAUACGAUACAUAUCCAUAAAUUCUUAGAUCUAAUAAUAAUAGCCAAGUAGUUUCAAAUAAAUAAAUCUUAGAAUAAAGAAAUGAGAUUAAUAUUCAUAAAACUAGAUAAAAAGAACAGUAAAGAACUGAUGCCGCCUGACUAAGUGACGGCACCCUCUUAUUUAUUUCAAACCAAAAUACAAAUUUAUUUUAAGAGGAUACGAAAUAAAACAAAAUAAUAAUAAUUUUUUAUUAGUGCGGCCCAGGCGGCAACCUAUUAUUUUUAAAAGGAAAAUUGUUUUUUGUACUCUCCUUAUGUAUAUCCAUAGGGAACUCCCAUAAGCCAUAAGCCAUUAAAUGCUUCCAUCGAGUAACCAGUUCAUGACAAAGGACACCCACCGAGGACAGUGUAGCCAUAGAGCCCCAGAGCUCCAACCCACUAUGAAAUAUCCAACGCCAGUGAAGCACCAAUCACACCCCAAUCCAACACAUUUACGAACACCCAACUCGUCAACACAUUCACCCCUAAAGCACAAAACGAGACAUAGGCUAACACCCUAGUCUUCAACUGGCUUUGCAAGAACCUUUGUAAUGGGAACUGAAACGCAAAGCUAAAGUGCAAAGGUAUCAACCAAAUCGCCACCACCCCCGACAUCUCCCCCACGUCGUCCAGCUGUCCGAAUAGCUUUAAAACCGGGGUAGCAAAUACGUAAAUGGGUAACAACAAAGGAGUAAAACGAUCCAAGAUCUUUGCAUGUAAAGGCCGAACAUGUGGUAUUGUUUAGCACCAAAAGCUUGUCCACAAAGGGUUUCUAAAGCACUCGCCAUCCCUAAUUAUAUUAAAGUGAAAAAAAAAACCUAAUGUUAAGAGACAAAUAUGGUAAAAAGAAAACUAAUGGAACAAAAAAGAAAGUCUCAUCUAAUGAAAAUUUACUAUGAGGCCAAAGUUGAAGCCAACGAUGGCCGUAUUGGCUAUUGAAAUAGCUACAAGUUGAACAUCACCAAGGUGACCAGCAAAAGCUUGGGUUAUAAUGUUCAUGGAGUAGAAGCAACAGGAGUUACAGGACUGAUGAUUGAAGGUCCUACGAUGACCCAUAGCUUCUUUGUUUCGAUCCAUAGCCUUGUACUUAAGUCCUUCUUCCCCAUCUUCAUCUCUCCAUUUAUUUUCUUCUGGUUUUGAUUCUUCAUGAUUUGAACCUGGUUCUGUUAGUAAAGGUUGAUGGUAUUCGCCACUGUUCCCAUGGAUACUAUCCAUUAGAGACAAAGUUAAAAUAAUAGACUAUGGGCUAUCUUAGAUUUGCUUGGGACAAAAAAAUUUUUAAAAAUUAAUAAUAAUAGGGUGCGCCAGGCAAGUUGCCAACCACUAAUAAAAAAAUAUUUUUUCCGAUUUAUUCCACAUUGUAAAAAUUUUGUAUUUUGGUUUAAAAUACAGAUGCUGCUAAUUGAUGAAGUUGCGUCUAAAUUUUUUUUUAGAAAUAAAGGGGUGUCACCGAUUAGUCAGCGGCACCAAUUGUUUAUUAUUGCUUAGUUUCGUGAAUAUUAAUCAUCUUAUCCUAUUUUGGUAUUUAUUUAUUUAUUUUAUAUUAUUUAUGUAAAAAAUACCCUAUAGUAUCUGAACUUGAUUAGAGGUUCAGAAACAAAAACAGCACUAGUAACCCAGAAAUACACCAAUACCCAGAUUAGAGCUGAUCUUGGCCUGGCCAGGCUGAGCUUCAAUAGAAUUUUAGGUCUAUUUUUUAGGCCUAGAUACGACUUGAAAAUGGACCUAAAAUUUUGCCUAAAUUUUCUCGAAUAAAAAUGCUAAUAUCUAAGCCUAGCCCGACCACCCGUAUUAAAAUUGUUUACAUUAUUAUUCUUAUAUAAUACAAAUUUAAAAAUAUAAUACACUAAAAACAUUAAAAUAAAUGUUCCCCAACAAAUUUAAAAUAAAUUUAAAAAAUAUGUACAUACUUAAAUAACACUAAAAUAGGUGUAAUUUAGCAAGCAAAUGCCUAUAAAAUAAUAGCAAAAUUAACAAUAAAACGAGAGUUAUACAAUAUCUAAAUAAUAACAAUAAAAUAGUAACAAUAUAAUAACGAAAUGACAACAAAACAAUGACAAAACAAGAGCAAAACAAUGGCAAAAUAGAAUUAGUUAUUUUUUUGCAAAUUUAGGCCAGGCAAAAAAAAAAAUUACCCAAAACCUAACUCAUUUAGAAAACAAGCCUCAUUUUUUGCUCAAGCUCAUUUUGUGGAUCUGUAUUUUUACUCAAAAUUUCCCACCUUUUAUACGAGCCUUUGUGCUGGCCAAAUGACCCAACUCAUAAUCAGAUCUAAGACCAAGUGAUACUAUAUAUAUAUAUAUAUAAAACAAACCAACUUUAGCAAAUGUAGGUCAGAUAUUUUAGCACAUUAUAAGAAAAUUUGCCUUUUAAGGCAAUGUUUAAAACAUAAAGUUUACUAUUGAAAUUGAAACAUAUUUAAAUAAAAACUAUUGUUUUAUAAAUAAAAGUAUCAUGAAAAUCAAUUAAAAUAUUCAAAAAAGUCAAUUUUUUUUAAAAAAUUACCUGAUUAGGCCUGGCACACGGCCGUGUGGCAUCAACAGUCAUGUUUUUCAGCAUCCGAAAUUCACAAAAACUCGGGUUUUCGGUACGUAGAGGAAGUAAUUUUGAAGUAAGAGCAACGUAAAAUACUCCCGAAGCCUAAAGCGACCAUUCAAUAACAAAAGACCUUCUAGCGGAAAAAGAAUACUCAAUUAUGCAUAGAAAACUAUGUCGAAAGUUUCGACACAAGACCUUCAACAACUCCAGACUUACCAACAACAUCAACAGUGAUUACUCGAGUUAUUGCACUGAGGAUUGUUGCUUUUGAUAUCCUCGCCUAAAAAGAAGCCAAAAGGUCCCUUAAAAGAAGGUUUAAACAAUUUGAGUUGGAAACAACUCAGACAAAAAUGAAUGAACUACCGUAUAACGGAAGUUCUAUGAUUAACGAAAUAGACAAAAUGUGCGGACCAAGCAACAAUUGGAUGAAGAAAAAAAGGAAAAAAGAACAAAAAGAAAUAGAUGAAAAAAAUAAAGAAGAAAAGGAAAAAAAUAGCAAUGGAAAGGAAGAGGGAACGCUUAAUUAAUCUAACCAUCGAUCAAAAUUUCGACAUUAACCAAAAACAUUACCUAAUGCAUACGCAGAGACUCAAAUACUAGACCAGAAAGUAGACAGAUGCUUAGCCAGUUAACCAGCAGGCUCAUUCUUGACUGUGAAAAAAUAGAACGUCGAUAAUGACAAUGUAUCACAAAGAAAAGAGAAAGAAAAAUAAAGAACACACAGAUUUUUAUGUAGAAACCCUUUUGAGAAAAAAAACUACAGGUAAAGGAGAAGAUAAUUCACUAUGUCGAAUUCAAAUGAUUAUAAGAGGAGUAGACUAUGUCUAUUGUAAAACCAUAUUAUAAUAGAAUGAGUGUAGUAAGGUUGAAACAUCUUAUUCUAAUCAAUAUCGAAUAUAUGAAGUGUAAUAAGGUUGAAAAACCUUAUUCUAAAAUAAAAUAAAAGAAGUGUAGUUCUAUAUGGAUUUUACUUUUAUUUUAUUUUACCACAAUAUUUUAUUUUAACAAGGAUUCGGGUCACUCAAUUCUAACAAUCUCCACCUUGACACGAAUUCUCAAUGAAUAAUUUCUUCACCAUGAACUCUCAACGAAUAAGUUCUCCACCUCUUCUAUGAAACCCUUUAAGGGGUAUUUUUCAACAAUGAACACCAACCAAGUCUAAACAAUGCUCAAACUUGGUUAUGGGAAGUGACUUAGUCAUCAUAUCUGCAAGAUUUUCAUGAGUACUAAUUUUGCUCACAAUACCACCACGAGUAAUAAUAUCAUGAACAAAAUGAUACCGAACAUUAAUGUGCUUUGUUCUCUCAUGAAACAGUUGAUCUUUUUAAGCACUCAUUUACAAUGAACAACCUUUUUUCCUUUAGGAAGUUUCACAAGAGCUCAUGUUUUAUUUUUGUUGAGUUAUUCCAUCUCUUUUUGCAUAGUAAAUAUCUACUUUUCUGAGUCUUCACAGCUAACCGCUUCAGAAUAAUUAGAUAGAUCUUCAUUUGCAUCUAUAUCUUUAGCCACAUUUAAAACAUAAGUAACUAGAUCAACAUCGAUAUACUUUUUUGAAGGUUUAAUCUCUCUUCUAGUUCUGUUUUUGAUGAUAGAAUAUUAUGGUAAAGAAGUAAAUCUAUUCUGAAUUUCUAUUCUGGCUUGAGGAGUCAACUUUGUUUUAGAUUCUAGAUUAAUCUGAUGCUCCAUCUACUUUUGCUGUUCUUUAUUAGAAGAGUCUUUAAGAGAUAAGUUAGGUAGCAUAACAGUUUGAUUAAAAACAUCUCUAUUAAUCACAACUUUUCUAUUUUCAAGACACCAUAACUUAUACACUUUUACACCAGUUUUAUAACCAAGAAAAACACAUUUAAUGGAUCUCGGUUCCAAUUUUCCAUUAUCAACAUGAGCAUAUGCAGGACACCUAAAGAUCUUUAAAUCAGAAUAAUCAGCAGGAUUACCAGACCAUACCUCUUGUGGAGUCUUUUUCUCAAUGGCACUUAAUGAAGACCGGUUGAUAAAAAAGCAUGCAGUAGAGGCUGCUUCGACUCAAAAUGACUUUGGUAAGUUGGUAUUCGAUAGCUUACAUCGAACCUUCUCCAUAAUUGUUCUGUUCAUUCAUUCUACAAUGUCGUUUUGCUGUGGAGUAUGACGAACUAUCAAGUAUCUCAUGAUCCCUUUUGACUUGUACAAUUCAUUAAACUCAUCAGAACAGAACUCUAAGCUAUUGUCUGUGCGAAUGUGUUUUAUUUGAUUUCCCCUUUAUUUUUCAAUCAUAGUUUUCCAAGACUUAAAUGUAGAAAACACAUCACUUUUCUACUUUAGGAAAAAUGCCCAAACUUUUCUGGAAAAAUCAUCAAUAAGUGUUAGCAUAUAAUUAGCUCCACAUUUCAAAGGCACACUAGAUGGCCCCACAAAUCAGAAUGAAUAUACUUUAACAUUCCUUUCAUGUUGUGGAUUUCUCUGCUGAAUCAAACUCUCUUUUGCUUCCCAAAAAGGCAAUGCUCACAGAACUUUGGUUUGCAAAUUUCUUACCCAUCAAGAAGUCUUUUUUUGUUCAAUUCUGUCACACUAUUCUCAUUCAUAUGCCCUAGGCGCAUAUGCCAAAGUCUAGUAACAUCAUCAUCUGAUAAGGAAGAGGAAGCGAUAGUUGCAUCACCAAUAAUCGUAAAACCCUACAAAACAUAUAACUUGACAGUCUUUCUUUGUCCUUUCAUCACAAUAAGGGAACCUUUGAAAUUCUUCAAAACUCCUCUUUAUGUUGUAUAUUUGUACCCUUUUGAAUAAAAAGUACUCAACGAAAUCAAAUUUCUCUUCAAAUAUAGAACAUGACGCAUGUCACUAAGUGUUUUGACAACUCUGUCAAACAUCUACUUUUCUUAGUCUGCAGAGCUAACUGCCUCAUCUCUUCAUCCGUCAAUGUCAAAGGCAUUUUAUCUAUCCGUAGCAGAGCAUCCUCUAAGUCCAUCUGCGCAAGAAUUGUCUACAUCUUUAUCUAUCACAACACAAAUCUGGUUUUCUAAUCCAAUAGUGAAAUUUCAUACCUCAAAGAUGUCAUUACCAUGAUUGAGAUGAACAACCUGGAAACUCUGAUACCAAUUUGUGAAAAAAUAGAACGUCGAUAAUGACAAUGUAUCACAAAGAAAAGAGAAAGAAAACUAAAGAACACACAUAUUUUUAUGCGGAAACCCUUUCAAGAAAAAAAGCACGGGUAGAGGAGAAGAUAAUUCACUAUGCCAAAUUCGAAUGAUUACAAGAGAAGUAAACUAUGUCUAUUUAUAGGCUUGUAAAACCAUAUUCUAAUAGAAUGAGUGUAGUAAGGGUGAAACACCUUAUUUUAAUUAAUAUAAAAUAGAUGAAAUGUAAUAAGGUUGAAAAACCUUAUUCUAAAAUAAAAUAAAAGAAGUGUAGUUUUAUAUGGAUUGUACUUUUAUCUUUUUACCAUUGUAUUUUAUUUUAACAAGGAUUCGGGUCACUCAAUUCUAACAAUCUCCACAUUGACACGAAUUAAAUCUAAGUCAGUGGCCCAAGAGUAGAGAUUAAUUAAAAUUAAAUUAGAAGAACUUCUAAAGAUGCAACUUGAACUCCUGACCUCAACCACAUAAACAGAGCACAUAACAACAGAUACAAAGACUUAAUUACUAUAGAAUCCCACAAAUAAACAUUCAAAUUUUUAGGGCGUUACCCAGCAUAUGGAUUAUGUGUAACACCCCUAACCCGUAUCCUUCUCCAGAAUAGGGUUAUAGAGCAUUACCGGAGUUUACAAAUUAAUUUUCAGACAUUUCAUUUCAUCAAGCAUUCAUAUUUAUAACCAAUCAAAAUCAGAACAUUUAUGAGCUAACAUUGACUAAUUUAACUUAUACAAGUCAUUAUAACCAGAAUCAAAUCAUCCAAAAUUACCGAUAGAACCAAUGGAUAAUGUAAUAUAUCUUCAACAAGCUUCCGAUAAUCAUUUCAAAACAUCUAACAAUUAUACAUAGUACCAAUAAUAACUCAAUUCCAAUAAUAAAACACAAAUAUAUAAUAUUCAUUACCAAAUAGAAUUCACUUUAAUUAAAAUUAUACAAAAUAUAGUUCAUACGAACUUAACAGACUAAAUUGCAGAAAUACCAAAAUUCAGGGGCAUUUUGGAAAGUUUCUAUUUUUCUCGAAUUUCUACCCAAUUUUGAUCUAAAUUAAUAUUUCAUUCAAUUUACUAAUUUAAAUAAUAAAACAAUUCAUUUCAUGCAAUUUGGUCACUUUUUUGACAUCUUUACAAAUUUACCCUUAAAGUUUCUCAUUUGUUCAAUUUAGUCCCUAAACCUAAAACAUGUAAAUUGGUCAUUUUUAAUGAAAACUCAUGCUAGUUGAAUAAUCAUAUAUUUUCCUCCUCCAGACUCCAUUCCACAUCCUUAAUGUAUAUAACAUGCUUAUAUGUAACAUUAUCUAUAAUUUCACCAUUUAUUCAUAUAUUCAUUCUAAAUUGUCCACUUGAGUCAUAGUCACUAAAUUAUUUAUAUCUUGAGCUAUAGAACUAAAAAUUGAGAUCCGUUAAUUUUAUAUGAAACUAGACUCACAUAUCUUCUUACCAUAAAAUUUUCAGAAAAUUUAGUUCAGCCAAUAAGUACAGUUUAUUCUUUAAAUUCAUCCCUGUUCUGCUGUCUGACAGUUCCGACCCUUCUUCACUAAAAAUUAAUUAUUUCCUCGUACAGAAUUCGAAUGAUGUUACCGUUUGUUUCUAUUGAAAAUAGACUUAUUAAGUAUUUAAAUAUAUAAAUUUAAGUCCAUAAUUAUUUUUCUCAAAUUUUUUAUGAUUUUCCAAAUUCAGAACAGGGGAACCCAAAUUCAUUCUGACCUUGUCUCACAAAAUUUAUUAUAUCUCAUGAUUUACAAUUCUGUUACUUAUUAUAUCUCAUGAUUUACAAUUCUGUUACUUACACCGUUUCUUCUAUGAGAAACGAGACUCAAUAAGCUUCAAUUUCAUAAUUUUUUUAUCCUCUAAUUCGAUUUUCACAAUUUAUGGUGAUUUUUCAAAUUUAACCUACUGUUGCUGUCAAAAACUAUUUUAAUGCAAGAUAUUGAUUACUAAGUUUAUAACUCCCUUAUUCCCUUUCUCUAUAAUAUUUCCCAUCACUUUCACUUAUUUCCGUUCACUAAUAUAUCAAGAAAAUAAGACUUUAUAUAAGAAAACUCUACUAGAACAUCAUUUCUAUGCUUUUUCAAUAAUAUCAAACUUAAAAACAUAUUGAAAUCUUGAUGUUCUUACCUUGUCCUAUUGGUUUCAAUCUUUAACUUGAUUUUCUCUCUCCUCCAGCUUCUAUUUCUUUAAUCUAACUUGAUAUUCUAGCUCCCCAUAGUCUUCUUGUUAUUUUUCUCUCUUGAUGGCUAUAAAAAUUCUUUUGAUUUCUAGGUGAAAAUAGUAAAUUUUUGGAGGAAGGACCAAAUUGUAAAGAAAGCAAAACUUUCUUUCUUUCUUUCUCUCAUCUUCACGUUGGUGCAUGGGAAGAUGAUGGCUUGGUUCCCUUUUUCAUCUUUUUUUCCACAUAUAUAUAUUUUAAAUAAUAAAAUAAUAAAAUAUCAUUAAAAUAUUAAUAAACUAAUAUUUAUUUAUUUAUUUAAUCUAAAAUAUCUCCAACAUCAUCAUUAUCUUCUAGAUUACUCUCUCUUCUAAAUGACCAUUUUGCCCUUCAUGAUCUUUUAAAAUUCCAUCCUUGAGUCAUCACUUAAUUUGGAAAAAUUAUGAUUUAAUCCCUCAUAAUUUUUCACCUAUUCAAUUAGGUCCCAAUUCAUCCAUUUUCUUUAGUUUCUAGAUUAUUCCACCCUUAAAAUAUUUACACUAUUGGUCCUUCAAACUUUUCAUAUUUACACUUUAACCCCUCAAAUUUUAAGUAUUUACUCUUGGGCAACAAAACUUUUCUCACUUUUGCAAUUUAAUCCUUUCUUGAAUUAAUAUGUCAUAAUAUACUUUCCAAUGUUGACAUAACUCAAAGUUACCAUUUUUAUCACUUUAUUUCCUUAUUUACUAUAUCAGGAAUAUUAUCUUAUUUUUUUACUGUAGUAAAUUUUUUUUUGGGGUAUUACAUUAUGAGUCUAUAUAUACACACAUAUCUACAUCUCACAUGCUUAAGAAAAUAAGAGAAAUGAGACUUUGGGUCUAGAAACAAGCGUUUUCUAAAAUUUGGCCUAUUCCUUUAAGUUUUACAUAAAUAAAGCUAUUCAUGUAAAUUUUUUAAUUUUUCGACAUUUAUUAGUAAACUAGUCAAUGUUUUUAAUCAUGAAUAUAAUUUUGGGUUUAUAUGAAAUAUGCAGGGCAAGAUAGUAAUGUUAUUAUUAUUGUGUAUAUAUAUUAUAUAUGCAUAUCAAUGAUUUUGAGGAUUAAUUCAUGAUUAUAGUAGGUGUUCAUAACCAUUAUUCAUUGUUACGAUGAUUUGGUGCAAACUCAUGUAAACUAUAAUACAGGUUUAAAGAAUUUGGUUUUUCAAGUUUGAUUUUAUAAUAUUUGGUUUUGGCAUUUUAUGGUUCCAAAUAUUUGGUCAAAUUAUGAUAUGAUUUACGAAAUGAAUUGUGAGAUAUACCAACUAUUACAAAAUUUGGGUUAAGAGUUAGAUUUUGGAAUUUCAAAUUUUAAAAUUGAAUAUAAAACAUUAAAAAAAUUGUAUUAUAUCUUCUUUCACACUUCCUUCAAAACUUAAACAAUAAAUAAUAAAUUUUGUAACAGCCCAUUUUCAGUGAAAUCAAAAUAGUGGUUUCGAGACCACAAAUUCGACAUGAAAAUAUUUAUUUUUAUUAAUAUUUUAGUGUCUACAGUAGGUUAGUAGUGUCGUACAAAAAUUUUGUUAAGAAAUUUUGACGUUUGCAUCUUAAUUAAGUAAAAAAAAAGGAUUAAAUCGUAAAAGGUGAAAAAGUGCAGUUCAAUUAGAUAAAGGCAUUAAAUUGCUAUGAAAUUUUAGUUUGAGUGACUUAAAUGAUAAUUAAACCAUUUUAUGAGUUAAUGGACAUAUAUGGACAUCAUUUUAAUGAUGUUAAAGGUUUAUAAUAAAGGUUAAUUUAGUAAAUAAAUACAAAUUAAAUCAAUUAAAAGAAAACUAAAUGUCUAUCUCCUCCAAGUUCUUUCUCCACCGUAAUUUAGAAGAGGAAGAAGCCUUUUUAGGGUUUUUCCAUUCGGCCAUAGUCUAUCCUUGCAUGUAAGUGCAAUUUUGUCCCGUUUUUAAUUAUUUCUAUGUUUUUGAAGUCAUUAUAGCUUAAUCUUGCUAGCCUAGGGGCUAAUACGCAAAAUUGUUAAAAGUAUAGGGUUUUGCCAUGAAUUUCCUAGCUUGAUAUUUGUAGUUUAAUGAAAUAUUAUGAAUUUUUGUUGAUAAAUAAACAACUUUUGCAAAGUGAUUUUUGUUGAAAAUGUCAAAUCGAGACUUGAUUGUAAAAAUAGUAAAAAUGUAUGGUGAAAUUGUGAAAUAAUGAUUUGUAUGAAUUAAUAUGUGUUCAUGAAGAAUUCAGCUAGCUUGGGUUAGGGAUGAAACUGCAUGAAUUUCAAUUUACGAGCAUAAAGACUAAAUUGUAAAAAGUUAAACUGUUAGGGGUACAAUUGUAAGUAUGCAUAAAUGUGAUUUGUGGAUUGAAUUGAAUAAUUGAGUUUGAUUGAAACACUUAAUUGAAUAUUAUUAUUUAUUUAGAUUAAGAUAAAUCUCAACCAGAUUUAAAUUGAGGAAAGGCGAAAGUCACAGAUUAACUUGAUUGUACUCCUACGCACUAGUUGCCAAUGUAAGUUCAUAGUAGUUAAACGUAUAAUUGAUUUUCCAUAUGUAUUUUUACCUUAUAAAUAUGUAAUUAAAUGUUAAUGUAAAUUAUAACCUAUUUGUACUUCAGUACCUCUGAUUGCACAUACGUGCCCUUGUUCGUACUUCCGUAUCCUUGAUUGCACUUAUGUGCCCCUGUUUACAUUUUCGUAAUUUCAAUCAAGUAAAAUAAGAAUUGUGUUCAUUUGAUGCUAAGUUUAAAAGAUUUACUAUGUUCUUACUGAGCUUUGUAAGCUUAUAGGUUUUUGUGUAUCAUUUUGUAUAUUGUUAUUGCUAACCUUUGGACGGAUCGAAUCUUCAGCUCACACUAUCCAUCAUUGUUGGUAGCUCUUAAACUCUUUAGGGUUGUGGCAUGUAUAUGUGGCUAUUUAGUUUGUUUUGGUAUAAUAUGGUGAAUUACUAAACUAGGUGAUUAGGUACUUUUCUAUGUUUGUGAAUAGAUAUCUUUUGGUACAAAUAGAAUGUUAUGAAAGUAAACACUUAUGGAUUGUUUUGGUUUGUUGAUGGAAUAAGUUGUUAUGUUUGGUUUAUAAAUAUGGUAUAUUGGAUGGUGUGCUUUUGGCACUUUGAUGCUUAAUGGAUUGUUAUGGAUAUGAUCAAUUUGGUAUGUCUGAAUUGUGGUUAAUUAUGAAAUGAUUAGGUAUGUUUUAUGUAUGUGUUUGAGUUGUCUAUAUGACGUAUUGGUUAUAUGGAUUAUUAGCUUAUUGUAUGGAUAUUUUUUUGUAGGUUUUGAGCAUGUUUAUGAGUUUUGAUCAUGUGUGCAAAAGUGCCUAAGUUUAUGCUUGUGAAGGAUAAAAGAAAUGACUUGAUUUUAGUCAUUUUCUUGUCCACACAGCCAAAGACAUGGGUGUGUGUCUUAGCCGUGUAUGACAUACGGCCACGUGAAAUGGUCGUGUGUCCCUUAUAGGUUUCAAAGGGUGGUAAGUCAGGCAGUUACACAGCUUGGCACAUGGGCGUGUUAGGCCAUUUUGAUAGUUACACGACUUGACACACGGGUGUGUGGCUUGGCCGUGUAGCCCAAGUCAGAGAGAUACACGGGCACAAACACAGGCUAGGACACGGCCGUGUGUCCCUACUUUUAAUGUCCACACGGCCUGAGACAUGAGUCGUGUGAGUUACACAGCCAUGUGACCCCUGCAGUAUGAAAUUUUCUAACUAUUUCCAUAUUCUUUCAUAUGUCCCCAAUUUAGUCCUGAAUCAUUUUUAAACUAUUUUUAAGGCCUCAAGGGUUCAAAUAAAGGAUGAUAUGUAUGUGUUUGAACAAGUUAUGAUAUGAUUUAUGAAAUGUUUGCAAACAAAUUAUUUAAGUUGCAUAUUUACAUUAAUGCUCUGUAACCUUAUUCUGGAGACGGAUACAAGUUAGGGGUAUUACAAAGUUUACUGAUAAUAUAUCGAUGAAGUUCAAGGGUUUCAAAAUUGGAUUGGUAGGCAAACUAUAGACCACUAGUUCAUGGUUUAACUGGUUCAAUCGAUCCAAUUGAUUCAAUUGAAUAAAUUAUUAAAAAUAAAAAUAUUUAAAAAUAAAUAAAAUCAAUUCAAUUGUCAAUUUGAGUGAGUCAAUUGGUUUAACCAGUUCAUGAGUCAACCAAUUUGACCUUUUAUUCCAAACUAGUAUCUCGAACGAUUCCCAAUCCGAUCGAUUUGACCAGUCAAUCCGAUUUGGUUCUUAAAACAAUAACAAAACUUCAUGUGUUUAAUUUAAUACAUUAUAAAUAUGCUAAAUUUUCAUUUAUAUGAUAAUUUUCACAAUUUUAAUUUAUAAACCCUAGACUUUUAAUUAAAAUCUAAGUAAGUACAAAAAAAUUUAUAUGAUUGAACUAAUUAGGCCACCAGUUUGCUAGUCCAAUCGGUUUAAUCAGUUUGACCGAUACGAUCGGUUCGACCAAUCUACCUGAUUCUAUUAAAUAAAUCAUUAAAAAAUCAUAAAUAUAAAAAUAUAAAAAAUAUUAUUUUAGUUCAACCGGUUCAACUGCAUAACCAAUCGGUUAGUAUUGAUUCCUGGGACAGCUCGUUUAAUGACUUUCGUCAAACAAGUACUUUGGCUGAUUCCCAAUUCGAUUGGCCAAACUAAUCUUGUUCAAACAAUAAUGUUCAAAAUCCUCCUAAAUAAUUAAAUCUUAAAGAAAAAACAUUUUUAAAACUUAAAAUUAGUUGAAAUCCAAAUCAAUAAAUUUAAAUCAAUUCAAAAUUUUAAAUUUCAAAUAUUUUUAUUACCAAAUAAAAUAUUUAAAAAUAAUGAAAUCAUAAAUUUCGAACUUAGAAAUUGAUAUUUCAAUUCUCAAACAAUAGCUAAUAGUUUGGACGGGUUUGCAGCACUCACAAAAUCAUUUAAUACUUAGUAACACAAGAAUGCACCUUAAUUGCUCUUUUUUUUUUUUAACCAUGUUUUUGGUUGUUUACAAAUAAUUUUGCAUAAAGAAAAAAAAAUCAUAUUAUAGCAUAACCAAUAGUAUUAUUCUAAAUUAGAAAAUCUUAUUAUAAGUGCAUACGUGUAAAAAUUACAAAUUUAGAAUAUAGAUAUAUGUUUAAAAAUAUCAUUUAAUAAUAAAUAAUGAAACUUAUGGUUUGAAACUAAUUAAUCAUAACAACACAUGAAAUAUAUAUGAUACUAAAAUUAAAAAAUAAAUUAAAUUAUGAGUAAAAUGAAAUUAACCACAUACAUACAUCAGAUAAAUCAUAAUUAAUUUUAAAUUAAUUACACAUUGAACUGGAAAAGAAAAACCGUUCAUAUCCUUUUUCUUUUAGUUUUCUUUUCCAUUUUGAUUGAAAAAAAAAUUUAUUCUCAUCCUAGUUAGACAUCUAAAUUGGCAUUUAAAACUCAUUUAGACCGCCACGUAGAAUUGCUUUUAGGGAGGUAACGGAGCUUAACGGCAGAAUGAGUACUACUUCGUAACAAAACGAUAACAUAAGUAACUAGAAUGUAACAUUUCAAACAUAAGUGACUAAAAUGUAAUAUGAGGAAAACAAAAGUGACUAUUUUUGUCGUUUAUCGUAUUAUUAAUUUUUUAUUUAAAAUUUAAUUUAAUUAGAAUUAAAUUAAAAUAUAAUUUUUUUAGCAAAAUUUGAUUAAUAACUUAUCCCUACUAAUUAUUUGAUUGUUAAAAUUCAAACUAUUUAUGCAAAGUUUUUAUUUUUAUCCUAAUAAUUAUUUUUGAUGUGUGUAGUUAACGUUGAAAACCUUAAUUUUCCCUGUUAAUUACUUUACUAUGAUUUCAGUCGUGAAUAUGUUAUUUUGAAUUUUACGUCAUCAGUCAAUCAGACUUUAUAAUUUAGUUGUCAAAAUUCAAAUUAUUUAUACCAAGUUUAUAUUUUAAAACACACAUAAGUUAUUACUUCUUGAUCAUAGGUCAGAUUGAUGUAAAAUUUUAAGUUCGAGCUCGGCUCAGAAAAUGAGUUUAAAAUUUUACUCAAGCCCAACCUAAAUUAAUAAUGCUAAAAUUGAGCUCGACCGGGUCUUCCCAUAUUGAUUUUUUUUAGAUUUUUUAUAUAAAAACAAAUUUUAAAAAUAUAAUAUAUCAAAUGUAAACACCCUAUACCUGACCUAGACAUUACGGUCAAAUCAUGGAGAUUACAUCUAACGAAUGGAAAAUUCAAUUGAACAACUCUUUUUUGAAAACACAAUGAUUCUCCUAAAUCGUAGCUUAAUUGUGUUACUAACAUCAAAAGCAAUUUACAUGAAAACAUUUGCGUGCUAACAAAAAAAAAACAUUUUGAGAGAAUUUCAGUUAAUCUUACAGUGAAAAACCUUAUAGUUUUUUAUAUAUAAAAUCGUGGUUCAUUUUUAAUUAUCAUAGGUUAAGCGUUUUUAAUGACUAAAGCCUUUGCUUAGUAAAUAUCAAAAUAGUCCUAACUAAACAAAAAUAAAAAUGUUCAAAACGAAAUAAAAACCCAAAACAGUCAAAAAAAUGUCCAUAAUAACAAAUAAAAAGUCCAAAGUGUUUAAACUAAAAUGUGUAAUUCGAGCUCCAGAGUCGCCAUCUAAUCCUAAGUCGAAAGAUCACCUGAAACAAAGAAAAACAUAGGCGUGGGCUUUAAGCCCAAUGUGUGAUUUGGCCCAUAAUUUCAAUAAUUUCAAUACAAGCAAUCAUCAAUUUGUUUCAUAGCAUAUCAGGCUUCAUAACUAGACAUAUUUUAUCAUAUCAUAUCAUAUCAUAUCAUAUCAUAUCAUAUCAUAUCAUAUCAUGUCCUACUCCCAUCCGCUACAUAUUGUCUCCGUCCAGCCAAUCAUACCAUAUAAGACUACUAGAGUCCAUCUAUUUAGUCACUUCAAUAGGUAGCAAUGUGCCACUUAUAUAAUUGCAGUUGAGCUGCUAUACAUAAAUUUGUGGUCUAGCCGCCACAAUUAUAGUAUAAACUAUCAUAUAAUGUAACACCCCAAACUCGGCCUAGACGUUAUGGUCAAAUCUGGCGUGUCACAUUGAAGUGUCUUUCGAAAAGUAGACUUGUUGGUAACAAUUCGUUUCUAAGUUUAAAACCCCUUUAUUAGUGUUUAACAAAACAUCUAGUCAAACGUUUACCUUGUUAUCUACUUUAGUUAUAAUGGGUUGAUUUUAAAUCGCGGCAACUUUUGAAAACUCUGAUCAUUUAAAUUUAGUAUCUUUGAAAAUAGUAAUUAUUUUGAAAAUUCGUCUUCUCUUAACCUAGUAGUUUAAGGUAAAUAAGCAAAAGCCCAAUUAGAAAUUCAAACAAACUUAAAGGCCUUAUUACAAAAACCAACCCAACAUAUAAUUUAAAUUUAAAAUAAAAGCAACUGUAAACAGCAGCAGUUGUGUGGCCACCUCCGAGUCCCUCGCAGCACUGAAUCGCCUAUAGCUGAGGAUUACCUGCACAGUUAAAAGGAGAGAGUGAGUUUACAAAACUCAGUGUGUAAUCCUCUACCAAACAGUCAGUAUACAACAUGCAGUAACAAACUGAGCUUGAGCCCUAUUCAGUAACAGUACAGUGAGGGCCUUAGCCAAAUACAGUAACAGUGUGGGCCUUAGCCCAAUACUGUAUCAGUACAAUGUAAUAAUACAAAUCAUCCCAAUCCAGUCAACAUACCACUCCGUACCACCAACACACCAUGUGGGGAUAAAAUUGACCCACCCAGCCAACACACCAAUAUCGCAGUAAAAUUGCCAGAAGUAGCAUCGCAGCAAAGCUGCUAGUAACAGUAUUGAAGCAAAGCUGCCAGUAACAGUAUCGCAGCAAAGUUGCCAGUAACAGUAUACUCCCUCCAUUGCAGUAUCCCAACCCCAUGCAAUAUGUCAUGUCAUAAAUCAUACGUGUAUGCAAAAUAUCGUAUUCAAUCAUAGUCAUACAUAUCAUAUAGCAAAUCGGUCAUACAUACAUAAGGCCAUAACAGUCAUUUUGACUCUUAGGGGUAUAACAGUCAUUUUACCCUAUGGGGGUAUUUCGAUCAUUGUACCCUAUGGGGGUAUUUCAGACAUUUUACCCUAUGGGGUAUUUUAGUCAUUUUACCCUAUAGGGGUAUUUCGAUCAUUUACCCAGAAAUGGCAAGUUGGGCUUAACACUCGAGCGAUCGCACGCCUGUGUGGUCUCAAACGUCGUAUUUAUGGCUUUUUGGUUUCUGCCGUUCUACAGUUACAGUAGGGUGUUUACACACAUAUUUAUGAGAAGAGCGCAAAUCUCCACGUACACCAACCUAUAUUCAAACAUAACCUAAGUCAGUCCUUUAAACACUAGGGUAAAACACCCUCUUAUUAACAAUUAAUCCAAAACACCAUCCUUACCUUGCUUGAAAGAGGGCGACUUUACUCCUCCAAGACCGCCAACCAAAAGUGGUCACACACUUAUCGAUUAUCUGCACCACAGACAGUGAUCUUAAUAACUAAGUUAGGCUAUAUAAGUGGCCAAGAAGGGUAUUCGGUUUUAAGAAAAAGAAUAGAAGAGAAUUGAUUUAAACAAAAAGUGACAAGUAUCAAUACUUUACCGAUAAUCAAAAACACUUACAGCACUGGGACAGCAAAAGCAACGAGGAGAAGAUCGGCGCAGAGAGUGAUAGAACAGAAGGGUGAUAUUCGACUGAACCACACUCAAUAAAAGAAGAUAGCUCAUGGUCAAAAGGAAAAUAAUGGAAGGUAGAAAUCAAAAACAGAAAGAGAAAAAUAUUCGGUUAAAGAAGAAAAGAAAAAGAGAAAGGAGAUUCGACCAACAGAGAAGAGAAGAGGGGAAAAGAGAAUGAAAGAUUCGGCAACAAGAGGAGAGGGAAAGAGAGAAGAGCAUUCGGCAAGCAGAGAAUAUGAGAAGGAAAAAGUAGAAAAGGAAAGCGAACAAACCCGAAAGGUAUUUUAAAACUUGGCAAAAUUCAGUACCAAUAACUAAUAGAUGAAACACGAAACUGACCGAAACCAAAAUAGACAGAAGAAAAACAACCUCAAACAUCGAUUACCUCAAUGGCUAAUGACCAAAUUCGGCACAAGCAUACCCCUAGCCGAAUUCUCAAGCUAGAGUUUCCCCAAACGGCACAACUCUCCUCUCAAAUAACUCCUUGAUUUUCUCCUCGUAUCUAUCCCCUUAUCCCUCAUUGAAUCACUCCACUGAUUUCUCCUCAACUCCUCCAACAAGCCAUUCAAAUUCCAUUCAAACUCCCUUUAGCUGUGUUUCAGUCCAACUCCGCUACCUACACAGCUCAAGCAGCAAAAUAAACACUCCAUUGCAUAACUCAGGACUUGAACCUCAGACCUCACAGUCACACAACACGCCACAUUGCCACCAGACUACAAGCUCUUUUUGUGUCAUAAAACAAACACUAAUAUUUAUAAGGACUAAAUGCCAAUGUCCAGAUUCAUUUAAGAGUAAAACUAAAAAUUCUGCAAAAACCAAGACUUGAACCCAAGCUUCUCAAACACUCCCAUACACACCCAAAUCACUUAGCCAUUAAAGCAAACAAGCAAUUUGCGUCAAAUUAUGCAAAAAUCAAAGACUUAGAUUUUUGGGGCGUUACAUAUAACACUUCUUCCAUUAUAUCAUAACCCACCUCGAAACACAAACAAAUCAUAAUCGUAUAACAUACUUAAAUAUAUAUAUAUAUAUCAUAACUCAAUGGCAUGCAUACUUACAUAUUGUCAUACAAAUCCUUACAUAGCACAUGGUUAAAUGGAACAUUUCCUACUUAACAUACCUCCUAAACUUAUCUGUAUACUUUUACGUACUGAUAUUUAGGCUUUUCUGGCCCCAUACGAUGCCUACGGACCCAGAUUUUGAGUCCCUCAAACUACCCCUAAUUGGGCCCUAAAAUUGGGCAAAAAGGCCUACGCAACCCAAAAAGCUAGCUCGUGUGGUCUAUACGGCCUACCACACGAUCUGCAAAGUUUUACACGGACGUGUGCUCCACACAACCAAGCCACAUAGGCUGUAAGAUUUCAUAUGGCCAUGUGGUGCACAAGAUUUACCACACGGCCUAGCCUAUGAUUAUGUGGCACUAGCCAAUUUCGAUGAACAGCCCCUAUUUUACGAAUUUAACGAGUUUCAAUUCAAUUUUUUGGUUAUUUUCACACACCUGAUUACGUAGUCAACUAACUUCAAUAACGGGAACUCACAAACCUACAAUUACGCAACAGUCGUACCAACAAUAUGUCAAAAAACAUCACCUUAAUACAACAAAAUUAUAGCCCUUAAAAUGACAUUUGAGUCCUUACCACUUGGAAAAUAGCGACUAAAAUAGAACUUAAUCCAUUGAAGGGAUUGGAUUAUCGGUUCCUUUGCCUAAUCAACACAAGAACAUUUAUCACCUUAAGCAAAAAAAAAAUUGAAUCAAAAUAACAGAAAAAAAAGGUACAAGAGGGAGAGGGAACAAACGGUUCUAGGAAAAGAGGAAUAUAAGGAUUUGAUAGACUUAAAAUAAAAUAAAAUAAAAUAAAAAUAGCAAGUUUUAAUUAAUCCAAACCCCACACUUCAGAUUUAAUAGAGUUUAACUAAACUUUAACACCUACGAGAAGCCCAAGCAAAAAGUAAAAUGUAAUCAAACACUUAACCAUUAAACCACUAAACCCAUCAUUAUUAUAACCCAACAAAGAAAUUGAUUUAAGCCCUAAGGUUCAAACUUAACUUAAAGUAAAAAUAAUAAUAAUAGAAAAUCUCAAAACUAGAUAAUUGAACUCAGGACCUAAAACAAACUUUUAAGACAGUUAACCAACGCUCCAAAUCAAAUUACUUAACCAACCUACACAUUCAAAAACCCAAAAUUUGGGGCAUUACAUCAAAUGUACAUAUAUUUAAUUACGUAAUGAUAUUUAAGCUUUUCUGGCCCUAUACGAUACCUACGGACCUAGAUUUCAAGUCCCUCAAAUUGCCUAAAAUUGGGCAAAAAGGUCCAUGCAGCCCAAAAAGCUAACUCAUAAGGUCCAUACGGCCUACCACAUGGUCUGGAAGAUUUUACACGGACGUGUGCUCCACGCCAAGCCACAUGGGCUGCAAGGUUUCACACGGCCAUGUGGUGCACAUGGUUUACCACACGGCCUGACAUAUGAUCAUGUGGCGCUAGCCAAUUUCGAGGAACAGCCUCUAUUUUGCAAAUUUAACGAGUUUCGAUUCAAUUUUUUGGUUGUUUUCACACACCUGAUUACGUAGUCAACUAACUUCAAUAACGGGAACUCACAAACCUACAAUUACGCAACAAUCAUACCAACAAUAUGUCAAAAAACAUCACCUUAAUACAACAAAAUUAUAGCCCCCAAAAUGACAUUUGAGUCCUUACCACUUGGAAAAUAGCGACUAAAAUAAAACCUAAUCCAUUGAAGGGAUUGGAUUAUCGGUUCCUUUGCCUAAUCAACACAAGAACAUUUAUCACCUUAAGCAAAGAACAAUUGAAUCAAAAUAACAGAAAAAAAAAGGUGCAAGAGGGAGAGGGAACAAACGGUUCUAGGAAAAUAGGAAUAGAAGGAUUUGAUAGACCUAAAUUAAAAAAAAUAAAAUAAAAAUAACAAGUCUUAAUUAAUCCAAACCCCACACUUCAGAUUUAAUAGAGUUUAACUAAACUUUAACACCCACGAGAAGCCCAAGCAAAAAGUAAAAUGUAAUCAAACACUUAACCAUUAAACCACUAAACUCAUCAUUAUUAUAACCAAACAAAGAAAUUGAUUUAAGCCCUAAGGUUCAAACUUAACUUAAAGUAAAAUAAUAAUAAUAAUAGGAAACCUCAAAACUAGAUAAUUGAACUCAGAACCUAAAACAAACUUUUAAGACAUUUAAUCAACAUACCAAAUCAAAUUACUUAACCAACCUACACAUUCAAAAACCCAAAAUUUGGGGCAUUACAUCAAAAGUACUAAAAAUAUUAAAAUAAAUGUUUCCCAACAAAUUGAGAAUACAUUGAAAAAGUCUUUAUACUUAAAUAACAUUAAAAAAUAACAUUGAGAUAGUUGCAACUUAGCAAGUAAGUUCCUCCAAAAUAGUAGCAAAAUUAACAAUAAAACAAAAAUUAUACAACAUUCAAAUAAUAACAACAAAAUAGUAGUAAUAAAAUAGUAAAAUGACAACAAAACAACAAUGAAAUGGCAACAAAACAAUAUAUUUGGUCAGGUCAGACUUAGAUCAAAAUUUAUUAAAUAUAUAAUUUUUUAUUAUAUGAUAUAAUUAGUGACUCAAUAGUUACUUAUGAAAACGCCCAAUUGAAUCUAAUUCACAACCUCUUCCAAUUUUUCAUUCCCAGAAAAUUGAAUUUUGUUUCUAAAUUCCCCCUCAAAAUCAUAAUGAUAGAUUUUUUUUUCAUAAUAACUUUUUUUUUUAGCUCCUCUUCAAAUUACUUAAAAAAUGGAUGGAAAAAUUAAUGUUGGUUAAUUUUGUUCAUAUAGUACCUACGUAUAUAUCACGUAAGCAAUUAAUUAAUAUUUUAAGUUAAAAAUAUUAAAAUAUGUUUUUUAUGUUUUAUAAUUUUUAAUACUUUUUUAUUUUUUUAAUAUAUAAUAAAAUAAUUAAUUGCUAACGUGGCAUUCAUGUGGCAAUCUACGUGUAUGUCAUGUCAGCAAAGUUAAUAAAAUGUUUUUUUUUCAUCUAUUUUAGUGUGAUUUGAUAAACAAUACAAAUUUAUUAACUAAAAAUAUGAAAAUCAAAAUGAAAAUGAAAAUAAUUUUUUGUUUAGGUUAUUGAAUCAAAUAAAUAAAUUAUAUAUAUAGACAUAUAUACACACACAUUUGCAUAUAGUACUAUGUGUUAUUUAGCUGUUAGUGGAACAUGUCUCAAAAUUAGUAGUGGGCAGUUUAUGGUUUACAGAUAAACAUGCAACAUCUAUGUUUCUACAUUGCUACAAAAUAACACGAUAAUGAAACCAAAAUUAACGUUGUACACAAAUGACGAAAUAAUAUGGAAAAGUAACUGUGACUUGAUGAAAUAAUAACAACAUAAUAAUACACAAACAUUUUGAAAUUUAUACCUACAAGCUCUCUAUUAAAAGUUUAAUUGUAUUUUAUUUUUAUUUAAAAAUGAGUAAAUUAAUCUCCAUACGUUAAAUUAAAGAGUAACAUGAUUAUUCUAUUAAAAAUUUUAUCUAUUUCUAUUAUUAAAAACUAGUCUCAGUACGUCAGCAUGAGAAAUAUAUGACAUGCCAAAUGUCACAAUUUGAUUAUUUUGUCAACUAUGUCAAUUUUAACAGUACAAAUGGAUAAUUUUUUUAAUAAACAUUAUCAAUUUACUCUUUAAUCUGACAUAUAAGGACUACUUUACCCUUUUAUUUUUAAGUAGAGAGGACAAAAUACAAUUUGACUCUUAAUACAGAAAUCUUCAUAGUACUUUUACUCUAUAAAUUAUAUAUUAACGUGUAAAUAUUUCAUAUAAAUAUGAAAAAUAGGAUACACAUACAUGAAUUGUUAGAUCUAAUAAUAAAAGCAAGUAGUUUAAAAAGGUAUUUAUUUUCCUUUCCAUUUUAAGUAAUUUUUUGUGUUUCCAAAUGAUUGAUGCAUAUCUACUAAUAAUAAUCUAUGAUUAACAUGUUAAGGUAUAUCUAAGAUACGAGUGUCAUAUAUAAAUACCUGAAAAAGAAAAAGAAAGUAAGCUGGGAUCAUUCACCAAUUUUCUUUUAUGUAAGUGAACAGAACAAACAGAGCAGUAGUACAUGUCCGUCAGCCAUUUCCUAGUGCAUGAAUCCGGAGAUGAUAAUCUAGAAUCACAUAAAUAUAAAGAAUUCACUUCUUUUUCUGCAAUUUAUUUAUACAUUUGGAAAUCCAAUUUCAUCUUCUCAAAUGAUAACUUAAAAAUGGUAAAGAGUCAAUAGGGUUAGUUGCGCAAACAAAUGUACUCGCAUGGGAAUCAAGUUCCACAAUUACAAUGAAAGACCUUCCCGUUGAAAGCAAUUUCAAAAGAAACCAUCCUUAGAAUUCAAUGAAUCAUCAAUAUCAUAGUAAGGAAACAUUAUUGUUGCAUGAACUCAAGAUUACCGGAGCCACUGAUUUCAUAUUGCAAAAUCCACAGACUUCAAAUCCUUAUUCUUUCUAUUCCUGUCUCUGAGGUAUCUAUUCUUUUCUUAUUAUAAUACAUUGUUUUGACUAUAUCACACUAUGUAUCAUUUAAUAAUUGAAUAGAUCCCUAUCUUUGAUUUAAAUCGAAUUUGUAAUGGAGGAAUUUCAAAUAUAUUUAGAACUAGAUAGAUCCCGCUGACACGAUUUCCUAUGCCUACUUAUUUGUCGGGAGUAUAUUUAUGCACUUGCUCAUGAGCUUAGUUUAAAAAAAUCGAUGAUUUUUUUUUAAAUCAGGGUUAUGGUAAUAAAUUCAGUUCACUAAUUGUGAAACAUUUAAUUCUUCAAAUAGAUCAACAAAAUCAUUUGAUUAGUUCUGCUAAUGAUUCCAACCAAAAUCUGAUUUUUGGGCACAACAAUUAUUUGUAUUCUCAAAUGAUAGCUGUAGGAUUUGUAGUCCCACUUAUGGGGUCAAAUCCAUACAUUUUGAGAAGAAAUAUUUGAAUAUAAAUCUCAUCGAUCUCAUAAGUAUCAUACCAAAUCCUAUCAAUCGAAUUAUUUUUUUUGAGAAAUACGAGACAUCUACGUCAUACAAGUAAAGAGAUCUAUUCAUUGAUAAGAAAAAUAAAAAACGUGAGCGGUGAUUGGAUUGGUGAGAAAAUAGAAUCAUGGGUUGCGAAUAAUGAUUCAAUUGAUGAUAAAGAAAGAGAAUUCUUGGUUGAGUUCUCCACCUUAACGAAAGAAAAAAAGAUUGAUCAAAUUCUAUUGAGUCUGACUCAUAGUGAUCAUUUAUCAAAGAAUGACUCUGGUUAUCAAAAGAUUGAACAACCGAGACCAAUUUACUUAUGAUACUUAGUUGACAUUCAUAAAAAGUAUCUAAUGAAUUAUGAGUUCAAUACAUCACGUUUAGCAGAAAGGCGGAUAUUCCUUGCUCAUUAUUAGGCAAUCACUUAUUUACAAACUUUAUGUGGGGCUAAUUGUUUUCAUUUACUGUCUUGUGGAAAACCCUUUUCGCUUCGCUUAGCCCUAUCUCCCUCUAGGGGUAUUUUAGUGAUAGGUUCUAUAGGAACCAGACGAUCCUAUUUGGUCAAAUACCUAAUGACAAACUCCUAUGUUCCUUUCAAUACAACAUUUCUUAACAAGUUCCUAGAUAACAAGCUUAAAGGUUUUCUUAUUGAUGAUAUCGAUAUUGAUGCUAGUGACAUUAUUGAUCGUGACCUUGAUACGGAGCUGGAGCUUCUAACUAUAAUGAAUACGUUAACUAUGGAUAUGAUGUUGGAAAUAGACUGAUUUUAUAUCACCCUUCAAUUCAAAUAACUAAAAGCAAUGUCUCCUUGCAUAAUAUGGAUUCCAAACAUUCAUGAUCUAGAUGUGAAUGAGGCGAAUUACUUAUCCCUCGAUUUAUUAGUGAACUAUCUCUCCAAAGAUUGUGAAAGAUGUUCCACUAGAAAUAUUCUUGUUAUUACUUCAACUCAUAUUCCCCAAAAAGUGGAUCCUACUCUAAUAGCCCCGAAUAAAUUAAGGCAAAGAGAGACGAUUUCGCGAGACUUAGCUUGGCAAACAAGUUGAUUAUUCGAGAUGUUCUGUCAUUGUUAUUGGCCCUUCACUUUUAUUACAUCGCUGUGGAUUGCCUCACGAAAUAGAAAUAGAGCUUUUCCAGACAUUUGUAAUUCGCGGUCUAAUUAGACAACAUCUUGCUCCGAACAUAAGAGUUGCUAAGAGUAAAAUUUGGGAAAAAAGAUCGAUUGUAUGGGAAAUACUGCAAGAAGUUAUGUGGAGACAUCAUGUAUUGCUGAAUAGAGUGCUUACUUUGCAUAGAUUAGGUAUACAAGCAUUCCAACCUAUUUUAGUGGAAGGAUGCGCUAUUUGUUUACACCCAUUAGUUUGUAAGGGAUUUAAUGCAGACUUUGCUGGGGAUCAAAAUGACAUUUCAUAUACCUUUAUCUUUAGAGGAACUACUAAGUACUUAUCAUUAAAAGGAACUACAAACAAUCAAUGUAUAAUGCAUAACACUAUAAGUUUAUGUACUCAUAUUACCAUCUUUAAAAAAACUCAAAUAAAGGAAAAAAAUAAAUUGACAAUAAUCACAGCAUUGGAAAAAAUUAAAAAAAAUUCAGAGAUGCAUCGCUUUAAUCAAUUUGCUAAUAUUUACAUCUUAGCUUUGCCAUCAUUAGAAGCCCUAAGAGAUUCUUUACAUCGUAUGCACAAAAAGUCAAGUAUUAAUGGCCUACCUUUCUCUACAUUUUAAAGUCCAAUUUUGCAAACACUCUCCUAACGAGGUUCUUUGAGUUCCCAAUAGAUUUGGUAGUGCCUUUACUUGAUCGGUCUCAUUUAUAUGUCAAAACAUGAUUAGAGACAAAACUAAAACCAUCACCACUUUCAGUGAAAACUGAAAACAUGGUAAAAUAAAAUCACCAAAAGAACAAGCGCACUGAAACUACAACCAUAACAGUUUUUUUUUUUAAACAAUGGAGUAAAACUAAAAACUAAACAAAAUUGUUGAAACAGUGGUGACCGGUAAGUAGCCCAGAGGUGGGUGUGGCUGCCGGCAAGACCAAGUUAUUAACUUUAAAUUAAGAAAAAGUAAGGUGGUAGUUGUAGGCCAUACAGUUUUAUUUGCUUUCGGUGGUGAAGCUCUGAUUAUUCAAUUCAUAAAUUAAUUGAAAAAAAAAAAGGAACAAAUUUGCAGCAAAGUCAAGAAAGUACAAGGAAAAAGAGAAUAGUAUGGUUAGCCCCACUUCACUUUAAAUUAAGAAAAAUAAAGGUAGUAGUCGUAGGCCUUUGCGCCUCCACUACAUAGUGGACUUUCUUUUAAGUGUUGACUGAUGAUUCCAUUCAUAAAUGAAUUGAGAAACGAAAUCACUUGAAACUUGCAAUAAAGUGAAUAAAGUAGAAGAAAAAGAAUAUUGAUAUAUCAACUUAUCACCAUUUUUAUGAUUAUUAUUUCUUUAGAUAUAAGUCUUCUAAACAAUAUAAUCUUUAUUAUAAAUAUGACAUUACAAAUUCAAUAAAUAAAAGUAAACUUGAUAUUAAAAGUUUUAUUUUACUUUUAUCAAUCAACCCAUUUACUCUAUUUCCUAAAUUUUAGAUUUUAUUUUAUGAUAUAUAUAGUCAAAAUUCAAAAAUAACAUAAAAUUUCAUGGAAUCUAGUUUUUCCAGAUUAGCAACCAUUUAUACUAUUCCUAGCUCAGGAAAUUGGUUCUUCAUUUACAAGUUGAGUCUCAAAAUCAAAGUCCUCCACCUAAUGUAUAUUAUGUUGAUGUGAUAUGUCUCUAAAUUAUUGAGUGGAAAUUUUAUCAUGGAUUCAAUCAUUUUCAAUGCUACAAAAUGACAUAAUAGCAAAACCAAAAACUUAUCCUUAAAACAAAACCAAAACCUUAACUCAAAUAUUACAUAUGAAAUAAAUAAUUAAAACAUAAGGUGUGAAAUCAGGUUAUGAGAAAUAAGAAGAGCAUAAUGAAGAAAACUGUCUCAAAAUUUAUAUUAUACAAGUUAUUAACAAAUCAAAAUUUAUAUAAAUAUAUAAGUUUUAUAUAAUUCCCUGUUGGGUCGAGAAUGCAUUAUUAUCUCUAAUUCCCUAUUAAGUCAAGAAUAGUUCUCAAACACCCUAUUGAGUCAAGAACACAAUGUUAUCUCUAAUUCCCUCUUGGGUCAAGAACAUAUCAUUAGCUCCAAUUCUCAGUUGGGUCAUGAGAGUGUAUUGUUGUGGUAAUACACGUUUUCGAACAUGAAAUCAGCUAAUAAAGGUUAAGGUAUAAAGAUCGUAGUUGCUUGUUUGAAACAUGGUUAAUUAAUGUAGAUACAUUGAGGGUGCUUAUAAAUGAUAAUAAAGAAAAUAUAGUGCAUGAGGGUGGACUAUGAUAACAAAAUGCAUUUGUAAAAUGGUAAUAAUACUAAAUAAAAACAAUAAAUAAUUUACUUAAUAAAAGAUAAAGAUAUCCCAUAAAAGAAUAAGCAAUCAUUCAUUUGGAUGCCAACCAGCUUUGCAAUCAAUCGUAUAAAUUAUUCAUGUAACAAGUGGAGAUAGAUUAGGAUCGUUUAGCUCGAAGGCAUCUAAAGAUUACUGUUCAACUUCAUUUAAGUUAAUUAGUCAUUGUGAAUAAUUAGAUGAGUUUGGCAUGUACAUAGAUUUAAAAUAGAUGUUGGAGUCAUUUGAUGAUGUGGUAUCUAUAAUGUUGAGAAAUUGUAGUCUAGGUAUGUAUAUAUGUAUGUAAUGGUACUUAUAUAGGGUUAAGAUCGUAUGCACUGAUCUUUAUACAAUGUUUAUUACAAGUUUCACGUGUUUUUUGCGUGCCAAGUAAACUAAUUUUGAUGAUUGAAUUUGGAAAGGCUAUUAUUAUGUUGGUGGUCAUAUUGUUGGAUGUGUUUUGACAAGCAUAAAUGGUGUUUGGGACAUGAAUUUUGAGUCCUAUAAGUCUUGAAAAUGAAUUGGUAUAUGUUAUCAAAUCAGGUGAAAUCAGGUGAUUUUAGGGAUUGUUCCAACAAACUUAUUUUGAUAUAAGAGAUCAGAUGUAUCGGUACAACUAAGUCAAUCUCCAAAAUUGAACGAUAACAGGAACUUGUAGCGAUACAACUAGGUCAAUCAAUGUCUCCUCCCUUGUUUUAAGUCAUUUUGAUCCUUGGACACCCUGACUUGGUCCUAAACAACUUUGGUCACCUAGAACUCAUAUUAAAAUGUUCUAAAUGAAUUUAAAUGACUUAUAAACAUUUUUAAUCAAGGCAAAUAGUUUUCUAUGAAUGAGUAAAUGUUUGUGUACAAGUUGAUUUUAGAGUAUGUGCUUUUCUCUCUUUACCUACAUUUAGAGACAGAUUAGUAAAAAUAAACAAGACAGAGGAUAUAUGCCAUGUCCACUGCAAACUACUUCGUAGCUAUUACAAUGAAGAAUAUUUUGCCUUUCAUCCAACUCAAGCAACAUGCAGCAUAAAUUUUCCCUAUACAUAAACAAAACAUACCAUAAAUCAUUUUGCAUAAGCACUAUCCGUUGGUCGAAUGCUGACCAGUCAAGCCCUACCAACUUUUAAUUUGAGUAUUUUUUAAGUAGAUAUGUUUGAGUUAUUUAUAUUUUAUAUAAUUUUUCUCUAUUACAUAAACAAAACAUACCAUAAAUCAUUUUGCAUAAGCACUAUCCGUUGGUCGAGUGUUGACCAGUCAAGCCCUACCAACUUUUAAUUUGAGUAUUUUUUUAAGUAGAUAUGUUUGAAUUAUUUAUAUUUUAUAUAAUUUAUAUUAUUUAUAUUUAGGCGAGUAUUGAUUCACAUGUAUAAUUUAUAUUUUUUUUACUUGACAAGGAACCUUAAAAAAUUGUUAUAUAUUUUUAAUUUUAAUAUUUUACGAUAUCUUUAUAAAAUAUUUGUUAACCUCUGACCCUACUUAUGAAAUCUAAAAUUUUUAUUGAUAGUGUACCAAAUAUUAUUUCUUUAUAUAUUAUAAAAGUAAAAUUUCAUAAAUUUAAGAAAAUCAAAAUUUUAUAUAAUUUUUAAAAAUUCAUUUUGAAUUUGAAAUUAAAACUUUUAAUAUUUAUUUUAAAAUUUUGAUAUAAUAUUUUUAAUUUUUAUAAUUAACAUUGUAGAGAAAUAAAUCUUAGUAAACGUAUUUUUUGAAUUUCUACUCCAAAAAUGUGUCAAUUUUUUUAAAGAAUUAUUUAAAACUUGAUUCAAUUCGAAAAAAUUGAAAAAGAAGAUAAUUUGAAAUAAUUUGACUAAUUGAUUGGUGUAAGCCUAAGUUUGAAAUAAUAUUUUUUAUUAGCAAAAGUUGUAAAUUUAUUUUAGUUCAUUUUAUUACAAUUUAUUUAUAUAUCUUUAAAUAAAAAUAAACAAUUAAAGAAUAAAAAAAUAAAUCAAUAAAAUAAUUUAUUUUAAUACACACCUUAAUGUUAAUGGUAAUAAUACUAAAUAAAAACAAUAAAUAAUUUACUUAAUAAAAGAUAAAGAUAUCCCAUAAAAGAAUAAGCAAUCAUUCAUUUGGAUGCCAACCAGCUUUGCAAUCAACCAAACUUACACAUCACACUUUUUGUUUCAUGUCUAUCCAAAUAUGAAUGCAAUACCACCCUCUUCACUUCUUCUUUUCUCACUCACUGCCCCUUCUACAUCAUGACUUCACCCCCAAUUUCAAUGACAGGGAUGUGGGAAAUGUUGGCCCAAUCUUUGCCUUUCUCCUUUUUACAACGUUUCUCCAGCAAAGGACAGUUCCUAAUGUAAAAAAAAGAGAGGGAGGGAGGGAGCAUGUUUGGGGGCAUGGAUUGGAGCUUGGGACAACUGUCGAUAAGCAAUCUGGAAAGAGAGGUGAGGUGUUGAAACCCCUUAUACUCCAAACUCUUUAGAUUUGGAAGUUGAGAGAGCCAGAGAGUUUCAAGAGAAGAGGGAAGCAGAUGUUCAUCUGGAAAACACUCCAUCUCUACUUCUGAAAAUGAGAUCUCGAGAUCUGUAAGAGAAGGGAGUGUAUGCAAACUCCAUUCCCUUUUCCUAAUCAAGCUCUCAAUUAGUUUAUCACUGCUUCCGAUUGUAAUUCUUUUUAAUUUGGAGGGCAAACCCUCUUUUGGAACCCUCUCUAUUUCUGGACAUACAAGUAUUUUCAAAUCCUCAAGGGAUGGAAAGACAGAGUGCAUUUGCUCUGGCAAUGACUUUAAACUAGGGCAACCCAAAAGCGUAAGCCGGGUCAAAUUGGUUACAGCUAAUCCAUCUUCAAUUUGAAAAGAUUUCAAAUUUUGGCACCACUAUAUUUCCAAAGAAUUGAGACAUGUUAGAUGCUGGUGGUGAGAGCCCUCUAAAGCAGCACUAAAAAACUUCAAGUCUUCACAUCCAGAAAUUUCAACAUGCUUUAGCAUAGGAAACGGUCCUAAUGAGAAAGAUUCCAGUUGAUCACACUUUGUACCUUUUAUCUUCAGAGAUUCAAGGGAUGUAUACAAGAAGAUUUUGGAAUGAUUAAAAGCUUUGCACUGCUCGAUCCUCAGUUUUUUCAGUGUAAUAGACACACUAUCCUCAGGAAGGGAUUUGAUAUUAGAACAACCAGAGAUAAUUAACUCGUCGAGAUGAGUGCAGUGUUUCAACAUCUGUUCCAAUAUGGAAUCAUUCAUACUCGAACCUUUGAUGCCCAACUUUCGAAGCCCACAAGGCAAUGGCUCCAAUUGCAGUGCAUCGCAUCUUUCUAACUCAAGUUCACAAAUGCCUGGUGUCCUUGGGAGAAAACAUUCAAGCUUCUCACAAUUUGCAAUCACCAAUUUCUUUAAAGAGGGGAGGUGUUUGGGUAUUGACUUGAUUAGCUUUGGACAAUCCCUGAUGCGUAGCUCUUGCAGAAGGGAGAAAGCUUCAUCACUCCUACACAACCAUUCUUCCCACCCAGCCAUAUUCUCAAACACUAGGAUUUCAAGAGAUCCAAAUGGUUUAGUCGAAGCUUGUCCAUUACUAUAGAACUCCUCGCCAACUAUUACAACUUUCCUGAACCCAGAAAUGGAGAGAGAUUUCAAAGAUGAUAAUUGGCCAAGCGGAGGCAAAGAUAUGCAAAAUUUACAAUCUUGCAACUCCAAAGAUAUCAUAUUUGAGAAGGACAAAUGCCCCACCCAUUCUGGAAAUCUCCUGCCUUUGUAACUUCCGAUAACUAGAUGCUUCAAGUUUGUAUUAGGCUCCAAUUGUUCCAAUACUUCUCUAUCAUGCUUUGAGUCACCAGCAAUAUCAUAAUAUUCAUCCCAUGUCAACUUCAACUCCUUAAGAUUAACCUUAUCCUUCAAAUUGGCAUCUUUGGCAUCCCUGGCAUUUACAACAUUUUUCAGUCUUGAAAUGGCAAGUCUUCCCCGUAAGUGCUUGAGCUUUCCCAACUCAUUAAUGCUUGAGCCAGUUUGAUCACCUAUAACAAAAUCUGUUAAGAUUCGAAUAUCUUUCAACUUACCCAUCCCUUCUGGCAUCCUAGUUAACUUUGUUCCCCUAAUAUCAAGAUAAAGCAUGUUGAUCAAUCUCCCCAUGUCUCUCGGCAACUCAACAAGGUCACUGCAUACAUGCAAUGUCAAUGCUUGCAAAUUAUACACCGUACACAGAGAAUUUGGCAACCUUGUGAUUGAAGUUUUUGAGAGAUUCAAAUUUCGUAGAUGCUUCAAGUUACUAAUUUCUUUUGGCAAUUCUUUGAUAUUUGUAUACCCAGCCAAAGAAAGCACUCGUAAGCUUGAUUUCAUCAACAAAUCAUGCAUUAGCACAUUGCUAACACUACAAUAGGAAGAAGACUUCACAGUUAGGAAAGCACGCAGACAUUUUGCUUUAGGUAAGCUCUGAAAUUUUUGUCGCACAUCAUAAAAUUCUUGGACAUUGGACAAAUGACGGGUCUUUUCAGUUAUUACACAAGAACCACCACUCCCUUCCAAUCUGCAGAUGAAUUCUCCGGUGACAGAUUUAGCCAAGUCACUAAUUAGAUCAUGCAUGACAAAACAAGAUUUCUCUCCUUUUGAUUGUUGAAAAAAGGACCUCAAUCUCAAAUCUUUGAAGUACUCGUUACCCAGUUCUUCUGGAUUUCCAUUAUCUUUCGAAAGCUGUAAAAGUCCUUCAGCCAUCCAUAAUUGAAUAAGUUCUUCCUUUUCGAAUUCGUAAUCUUUAGGAAAAAUUGAACAAUAAGCAAAACAUCGCUUUAAAUGUGAAGGAAGAUAAUGAUAACUUAAUGCUAGCGCUGGAAGAAUAUUACUUGCAGUAUUUGGUAUGUCCCAAAAAUUGCUAUGCAAGAUUUUGUUCCAUUCAUCAGCGUCUAGUUUACAGCGAAGGAGACCUCCAAGUGUUUUUGCAGCCAAAGGAAGGCCGUUACACCUUUUCACGAUUGCUUCACCAAUUGCCUUGAGAUCCGGAUGCGUACUUGGGGUUGUACCAACGAACGCAUGCUUUGCGAAUAACGUCCAACAAUCAUCAUUAGAUAAGGUCUUCAGAGGAUAAGUUGGAAUAGUCCUCAUAAUGUCGGCAACANNNNNNNNNNNNNNNNNNNNNNNNNNNNNNNNNNNNNNNNNNNNNNNNNNNNNNNNNNNNNNNNNNNNNNNNNNNNNNNNNNNNNNNNNNNNNNNNNNNNUUACAAUCGAAUCACGAGUUCACGGUCAAAUUUGAAAGGAAUGCUGAGCUGCUCCCACACAGCAUAGUUUUCAUUCCAAACAUCAUCCAUAAUGAUUAGAUAUUUCUUUCCCAACAGCUGCUCUUUGAGUUUAAGUUGAAACUGAUUUAAGUUCUGGUUUCCAUCACAGCUACAUUUGGUUUCUUCAAGAAUGGUUUUGGUUACCUUGAGAGCAUCAAAUUUCUCUGAAACACACACCCAUGCUUUGGGGUGAAACCAUUUAUCCACUCUGGGGUCAUUGUAGAUCAAUUGGGCAAGGGUGGUUUUUCCAAGCCCGCCCAUACCCACAAUGGGAAUCACAUCUACCUGAUUUUUAGGCAGAUUUUGAGGAUCCAACAACUUCAUUAUUUCUUCUUUUUCAUCAUCUCUACCACAAACAUCAGACUCGUCCACCAAAGAAGUUGCAGGCGUUCUUUGAAAUGCCUUUUCUCCUUCAGAGUUUUCUUUCAGACCCAGAAUCUGUUUUUGGUUCAGUAGGUUGUCUAGUCUCCCAAGGAUCUCCUCUAGCUUUGACUGCGCCCCAUCUUUGAAAGGAUUCAAAGAAGAGAAAAAGCUACUAACCUGCUUCAUAUUAGUAGUUUGAUAUUCUGAUUCAAUCUUGUUCCGAAGAGCUUCAGUAGAGAUCUCGUCCAGGAGGUCCUCGGCAUCAUAAACAGCAUCUUUGAGCUCAUCGGUCCAACUUUUGACAUUUGGGUUGGCAAUCUGCUUAUUUUCAGCAUCAUCCAACACUGCUUUCACCGACAUCAAGGUUGGCUUGAGUUUGUUCAGCAGCACAGCUUCAAGUUUCUUUCCUUUGAUAAGCCUCAGAACAUCGGCAGAAACAAUCCUAUCAAGCAGCACCUCAAUGGAAGCAGAGAGAAAAGCUUCACCCACCAAAGCCAUGUUUUUUUGUGGGGUUUUUUGGUAAAGAAAGGUUUAAAGGAAGAUGAAAAGGGAAGUAAUAACAAAGAAAGGAAAAGAAGAGUGCUUCAACUAAAGAGAAGACACGGUUGCAAAGAUGAAGGAUUUGAAUUUGAAACAGAGAAAGGAACAGUAGAAGGAUUGGAUGAAAGGGGAAGGCUUUAACUCGCAAAUACUUUAGUUUCAAUAAAGAUGAAGCAGCCUCAUCCAAUUUGUGUAUAAAAUUUCUUUAUUGGAAUGUUUGAAAACAUGAUUUUGGGUUGAAAAUUUUAAAUUUUUUUUAUAACGUAUAAAAAGUAUGGAAAAUUAAUGUAUUACACAAAUGAUGAAAUA